rnacentral:lncRNA from 1 species
AGGCCUGGCUAAACUGGUGAGGGCCCUACCCAGCCAUGCCCACCGUGGAUGAUGUCCUGGAGCAAGUUGGAGAGUUUGGCUGGUUCCAGAAACAAGCCUUCCUGUUGCUAUGCCUGAUCUCAGCUUCUUUAGCUCCCAUCUAUGUGGGCAUCGUCUUCCUGGGCUUCACCCCUGGACAUUAUUGCCAGAAUCCUGGGGUGGCUGAGCUGAGCCAGCGGUGUGGCUGGAGCCAGGCAGAGGAGCUGAACUACACUGUGCCGGGCCUGGGACCUUCGGACGAGGCCUCCUUCCUCAGCCAGUGCAUGAGGUAUGAGGUGGACUGGAACCAGAGCACCCUUGACUGUGUGGACCCACUGUCCAGCCUGGUUGCCAACAGGAGUCAGUUGCCAUUGGGCCCCUGCGAGCAUGGCUGGGUAUACGACACUCCCGGCUCCUCCAUCGUCACUGAGGUUUGGCCGUAAGCUCUGUCUCUUGGUGACCACGCUGGUCACAUCUGUGUCCGGUGUGCUAACAGCGGUGGCCCCAGACUAUACAUCCAUGUUGCUCUUUCGCCUGCUGCAGGGCAUGGUCAGCAAGGGCAGCUGGGUGUCCGGCUAUACCUUGAUCACAGAGUUUGUCGGCUCUGGCUACAGGAGAACGACGGCCAUUUUGUACCAGAUGGCCUUCACAGUGGGGCUAGUGGGGCUUGCCGGGGUGGCCUAUGCCAUUCCAGACUGGCGCUGGCUCCAGCUAGCUGUGUCCCUGCCUACCUUCCUCUUCCUGCUGUAUUACUG